AUUGAACGCUGGCGGCGGGCCUAACACAUGCAAGUCGAACGAGUGGCGGACGGGGGAGUAAUGUCUGGGAGACUGCCCGAUGGAGGGGGAUAACUACUGGGACCGGUAGCUAAUACCGCAUACCAUCGGAUGUGCCCAGAUGGGAGUAGCUAGUCGGUGGGGUAAGGGCUCACCUAGGCGACGAUCCCUGGCUGGUCUGGGGGGGUGACCAGACACACUGGAAUUGACACACGGUCCAGACUCCUACGUGAGGCAGCAGUGGGGAAUAUUGCACAAUGGGCGCAAGCCUGAUGCAGCCAUGCCGCGUGUAUGAAGAAGGCCUUCGGGUUGUAAAGUACUUUCAGCGGGGAGGCGUUACCCGCAGAAGAAGCACCGGCUAACUCCGUGCCAGCAGCCGCGGUAAUUC
rnacentral:rRNA from 1 species